rnacentral:rRNA from 1 species
UACGGAGGGGGCUAGCGUUGUUCGGAAUUACUGGGCGUAAAGAGCUCGUAGGUGGUUUGUCGCGUUGUUCGUGAAAACUCACAACUCAAUUGUGGGCGUGCGGGCGAUACGGGCAGACUGGAGUACUGCAGGGGAGACUGGAAUUCCUGGUGUAGCGGUGGAAUGCGCAGAUAUCAGGAGGAACACCGGUGGCGAAGGCGGGUCUCUGGGCCGAUACUGACGCUGAGGAGCGAAAGCGUGGGGAGCGAACAGG